ensembl:misc_RNA Metazoa_SRP Metazoan signal recognition particle RNA
GCCAGGUGCGGUGGCGUGUGCCUGUAGUCCCAGCUCCUCAGGAGACUGAAGCUGGAGGAUCGUUUGAGUCCAGGAGUUCUGGACUGUAGCAUGCUGUAGGGACAGGUGUCUGCACUAAGUUCAGCAUCAAUAUGGUGACCUCCCAGGAGUGGAGGACAACCAGGUUGCCUAAGGAGGGGUGAACCGGCCCGGAAACAAAGUAGGUCAAAAUUCCUGUGCUGAUCUGUAGCGGAAUCGCACCUGUGAAUAGCUACUGCUUGCCAGCCUGGGCAACAUAGCGAGACUCUGUCUCAA